GACGAACGCUGGCGGCGUGCUUAACACAUGCAAGUCGAACGGUGAAAGCGGAGCUUGCUCCGCUGGAUCAGUGGCGAACGGGUGAGUAACACGUGGGCAACCUGCCCCUCACUUCGGGAUAACUCCGGGAAACCGGGGCUAAUACCGGAUAUGACCUCCUUGGGCAUCCUGGGAGGUGGAAAGUUUUUCGGUGCGGGAUGGGCCCGCGGCCUAUCAGCUUGUUGGUGAGGUAGUGGCUCACCAAGGCGACGACGGGUAGCCGGCCUGAGAGGGCGACCGGCCACACUGGGACUGAGACACGGCCCAGACUCCUACGGGAGGCAGCAGUGGGGAAUAUUGCGCAAUGGGCGAAAGCCUGACGCAGCAACGCCGCGUGCGGGAUGACGGCCUUCGGGUUGUAAACCGCUUUCAGCAGGGAAGAAGCCGCAAGGUGACGGUACCUGCAGAAGAAGCACCGGCUAACUACGUGCCAGCCGCCGCCGUAA
rnacentral:rRNA from 1 species